ACAAAGUCUCUCUACAGUCGCGUGAAUUAAAACUGAUGCCCAGGACAUACCGGUGACUAAAUGCUUUCACACAGACUUUUAGGCUCAAUGGAACAAAAUCCCUACUAUAGGAGGGCGGGUGUCUGAAAUCACCUAUGAGGAACUCAGUCCACCAGAGAAUGUAUUUAUUACACCAGGGAAUCUUAAGCUUUCUGGGUCUAGGUACUCCUGGUUGAGCUUGCAUCCAACCAUGUUGUGCUUACCACGCCAGUUUCACUUGAUAGCUGAAGUAGUAUGUUCCCGAAGCGACGUCUUCUUCUCCUCAAAGCAUCGAUUGCCACGACUGCCAAGAAGAGCACGGCUUGAGGAGCUUGUAAAAGGUGACGUACGUGUGUGUGUUCAUUUAAGUGACCCCAGGAGAGCAGGGGUGUCAGGGGGCCACUUGCAAGCCUCCCUGGCAGUCGAGAUUGACCUCCAGGCGCUCACUUGUCAAUCACGCCAAGCGUUGUUGGCAAAUCGCUGUGGUUGACUCUUCAAGUCCUCAGUAAGUCAUGACUCUGCCUUUAGAAACAUGUUUGGAACAGAAGGAGGAAACGGCGCUGCUUAAAGCAAGCAAAUUAUUGUUUACGUUUCCAAAUAUAGCGGAGAAAAAUGCUUCUUUUUCUCCCAGCAAUCUGGAACUCUUGGGAAGGUGAAUUGCUCUGAGCCAGGUGGUUGCCUUUUUUUUUCUUUUGAUUUAACAUGAAAAUGAGGUUUUAAUGAGCGAAUUCACUUUUUUUUUAAGCCAAACACUUUCAUAAUCAGCCUAAAAUGUGUUGGAGGGUGAUGUUGAACUUGAGUCGGUGUACUUAUUUAUAUCUUCGCCGCUCCACAAAUGACAUCCACGCUUUAAUGCGACUCUUCAAGCCAGCCCCACAGAAAAGAAAAAAAAACAGUUGUGCAUUUGUAAUGCACAUUAGCGUGAACUGUACAAAUCUCACCAAGUGUAUUAACGCAAUUAACACAUCGAUUUUGGCUAAUUGAAUAUACACUACCGUCGCUAAUUAGAACGUACAGUAACGCCAACGUCAAGUUAUUAAGGACAGACGCAGCCAACUCCACUUUCAAUCACCUUAUUGAACAAUUGCUCAGAAAAGAAACACAUCAUGAGAACAUUUACACACGACGUGCCGACUGCCAUAAAGUCACGGCAAGCCUUUCAAGACACAAACUAGCAUUUGCCGACACCCACGUCACUCACCGUCACAUUGCAAGGUGUUUGUGGACCCCAAAAAGCAGGCACGAGAGAGCAGCAGGUUGUACUUGAUGAAUUGUAUUAAAACAGAGAAAACUAAAUCCUAAACAAAGUCCAAAGUAUCAAACUAAACGCACGACUGAAGUUAAAACAUAACAAUCAAGUCAAGAAUGACCAAAACCUGACUGAAACAACAUGACAGUAGCAUACAAACAAUGACCUGAACGUGAGUAGUCGGCCGGGAGUCCUUUUAUAGCCACUAAUUACCUAACGACCAACAGGUGUGCAGCUGCAGGGGAAAAGCCCCAUAGUGCCACCUGUUGGUCACAAACCGAAACACGACACUCGCCAAGCCAGGCCCUGUCUUUUAAAGCCACACAAAGUACCUCAUGCACAAUAUUAAGGUUAAUAAUGUCAAAUCAAUCAAAUAAGAUGUAGAAUAUUCCAUUCUAAAAAUACAUUUGAAGCGUUAUCUUCUACAGAAAUCCCCAUCGCAAAAAAAAAAAAAAAAAGAUGAC